CCAAGGACGUAAGUAAAUGUGUUCUUGCACAUAUAGUUCUGACAAAUGUGCAGAGACAAGUCAGUUCGUUAGCUUGUGAUCAAGUCAAAAACAACGCUUGCAUUAUUUGUAACUUGCCAUUAACAGUAGUGCACAAUGCUAGCAUUCACACUUAAAUUUCAUGGGAGUUCAGCACAAAACAAUUUACAAAGAAAAAGAACUAUUUUACUGGCUUGUCUGUGCAUUUAUAGAGUGUUGCAUGGCACAUUUGCCAUUUUAUUUUACAAAAUAUGUUUCAUCAGUCAGGAUGUCCUCAUCGGAUCAGAAUCAUGUUAUUUUAUUUUUUUAAUUUUGUGUCCACGUGAUGACCUUUCGCAUGACAUCAAUGGAGAGAGGCAGGCUGUGUUUCAACUCUUUUGGCUGCAAAGAUAAAUGGUGGGGUGUCUUUUUUUUUUUAACCAUAAUCUAAGCAAGGAAACAGAUGCUUCCAAAAAUUGGCCCGCAAACUUAAAAAAAAAAAAAAAAACACAAAAACUAGCAGAAUCUAAUUCUUGGUUUGUAUCUGACAGCUAUUUUUCAAGCUGAGAAACAUGCGUUUGAGCCUCAAGCGAGCAAGACAAUCUACAGUAAACAUUGCCACACAUCCAGUGAACAAUGUCCUCCUGUCAACGCACUUGUCAACGCACUAAACACACAUGCUAGCCUCCCUCCGUCCAUUGCGGCUCUGUCACACUCCCCUUGGUCCAUAAUGCAACAGACACUGCGCCGUCUAUUUUUGUCCCACCAUGGAGGAUCUCUGCUUCCUCUCACUGGCUCUUGUCAAAGUCUCCAUUGUGCUGCCUCUAAUAAGCUAUCCUGGGGAAAGAUCUGCCAUUUUCAAGAAACGACUGGCUGCCAGAAAACAUGGAAGAACUAUCAUGUCAAAGCCAAAAGCCCUAGUGGAGAGGUUAUAAUACCCAAUGGUGGCUGUGCACAAGCGUGAUUCAUUUGCAGUCUGGACACAGAGGAGUGAACGUCUCUUGUUCUGGAGGGAGUCUCAAGAGUCUCCAGUAGCAUCACUUUGCUAGAUUUGCUGGACUUUUCUGAAAAGUCACUAGAGAAGCGGCAUCCACAUUGUGCCCACAGGCACCUAAGUAGUUCGUGGCCCUUAUGUAAAAAUAGCUCACCAAUGAUGGGACAUUGUGAUUUCCUAGAAAUGUUGUAAAAGUGAUCAUUUUAAAAUGUAAACACUAUACAGAAAUAAAUAAUAAAUAAAUGCCUGCUGCUAAUUACUGUGUUUCCUACCUUGUUAAAUUAGUUUUCACAAAGAUGAAUACCAGUGAUUAUUAAUAAUAACAUAUUAUUAAAAAUCUUUGAGCAGAUUUGUUAUUUCAGAAGUGUGUAUCAAAACGGUAGUCGUUUGCAUUACUCAGUACCCAAGAAGUAGCUCUCAGUUUACAAAAAACGUUGGUGACUACCGCAGUGGGGGGAUUGGAAAAGUCACUAAGACAGAAACACUGAGUAGCACUCACUUUGUCGCAAUGCCCUAGCACCGCCCCUGGUCGUCAUGGUAACAAAAGCUGUACUCAGCAUUUGCUUAAGACUGAACUGCCCCCCAAAACAGAAUGAAUUCAAUCAGAGAUCUUUACCAUUUGUGAAUUUUGACUAAUAUGGUAUUAAGAAAUUAAGGAAUUGUUUUAAAUUGUGAAAAAAAUGCAUCUCAUUUAGGAAUGGUAAACACUAAUUAAAACAUUGCCUAUGCAAUUAAUAAAGGUUUCCCUAUGGCAUGAGUUUAAGCAAGGAACUGAUUAGUGCACGUGACAUUAUUUUCUAUGAGAAAAACACCCUGGAGGUCAACCAGAAUUGCCUAUAUCUACAGGUAAUGUACUUCAAGGAUGAUAUGGGUGCACAGUGUUCCACCUUGUAGAGCCCUGCCAUGAUCGGCUGGGGUUUCCCCUGACAUUUCAACAUGCUUGGAAGGUAGAUGUGAGCGAGGCCUUGCGUUACAAUUGUGGGUGGGGGGUGGUGGUUGGUGCAGAGAGAAGUGGUG